rnacentral:rRNA from 1 species
UGUUUUCUGUGUGUGUGGGACUCGUCGCCUUUGUGGGAAAUCCGUGUGGCACUUGUUUGGUGUUGUUGGCAGACUUCGGUCUUGCCUUCACACACGUUUCACAUGUGUCAUGCCUUCCCUCAACUCACGGCAUCCAGGAAUGAAGGAGGGUAGUUCGGGGGAGAACGUACUGGUGCGUCAGAGGUGAAAUUCUUAGACCGCACCAAGACGGAUGACACCCAUGAAUUGGGGAGUUUUUGGUCGUAGGCGUGGUCGGGCUUGAUUAUAUUAUUUUUCAUCCCGUUCCUCGUCUCGCCAAUGAAUAUAUUAA